UGGCUGAGAUCCGCCGCUUCUUUGAGGAUUGUAUCCUUUCAUAUAUAAAGAUUAUAAAUGGGAACAGGAAUUAUGUUUUAAAGAUGUUCGUUUUAACAGCUGAUUCUAAUACAGAGGUGAAAAUAUUUGAUACUUAACAAUUAUUCAGACAAGAAGAAUGAGAAGAAGGAAGUUGCAGUUAAUGACUUUCUACCAGCAUCUGAUGCUUAUGAAGCCAUCCAGCAUUCCAUGAAUUUCUAUGCGGAUUAUGUUGUGGAAAGCCUGAGGCGAUAGUUCACUUGGAAAAUGAAGGGUGGUGGACGACAUAUUCAUACAAUAUAUACAAAUACUCCUAUCUAAAAGCUUUGCGUAUGUUACAUUGUGCAUGUACCUUGCCUGGAAGAUUUCCCCGUCUACAUUGAGAGGAUGGCUUCUGCUAUGGUUCUAUAUAUAAAUUUUGAAACACUUUCCAAGUUCUAAUUAGUCUCCGUGGCAAGCUAUGGCUGUAUUAUUUGAUUAUUUGGUACUCCGUAUUUUGUACCCUAUUGUUAUAAUAAUGCUUACAAUUGUUGGUUGAUAUUUGAUUCAUAC